ensembl:lncRNA
AAUGGAUUCUGCUUUCUGCUGGAAACACAUACUUUGGGAUGAAAUCUCACCAGGCGAGAGAUGGGCUCCAACCGCAAGGGAUGGACGAGCUGAGAGAUUGCGGCUCAGACUCUGGGUCUCGCUGUCUGCUGGGCUGGGCACAUCCCCUGCCCCGUGCCCUCCCGUGUAGGCACAGGAGCGAGCCUGCUGAGGGUCAGUGGGGAAUGGGGUACAGUCGAUCUAAAAGCAAGUUUCUUUAUAUACGAAGACGGACAUGUGAGAAAGGAUUCUGUGUGCUCAAAGUGAAUCAAGUCCCACCUAAACAGAAGCUCGGGAGAUACGAAUGUCUCGGGGAGGCAUUUGGUCCAGCUGAUGGCUGCUGCUGCUGCUGCUGCUGCUAAGUCGCUUCAGUCGUGUCUGACUCUGUGCAACCCCAUAGACGGCAGCCCACCAGGCUCCCCCGUCCCUGAGAUUCUCCAGGCAAGAACGCUGGAGUAGGUUGCCAUUUCCUUCUCCAAUGCAUGAAAGGGAAAGUGAAAGUGAAGUUGCUCAGUCGUGUCCGACUCUUAGCGACCCCUUGGACUGCAGCCCACCAGGCUCCUCCUCCAUCCACGGGAUUUUCCAGGUGAAAGUACUGGAGUGGGGUGCCAUUGCCUUCUCCUAAUGAUGGCUGGGCCACAGCAAACAAGUCGAUGGAGGAAGAAUACUUGGUGUAGAGUGACGGUGAAACAAACUUGGCAAUGACGGACCUUACGACAGUAGCGAGGGCGUGGCAACCUGCUCCUGAAUUCUUGCCUGGAGAACCCCAUGGGCAGAGGAGCCUGGCGGGCUGCAGUCCACGGAGUCGUGAAGAAUUGGAUACGACUGAGGCGACUUAACACACGCAGCACACCAACAGUGUUAAGAUUAGAAUCUUGAGAAAAACAAAGUUAUAAAUCACAAAAUAAGAGAACAGAAUAUAACCAGUGUUGGAAUAACGGCAGUAAGUGGGCGCUUUUGGUACAGUCUGUGUUUUAAGUUACAGAGGGAAAAUGCCCUCAUAAAACUCCAAUAAAUCACUUUGGCUUAAUCACUAGAAUAUAAGCGAAAUUUAUAGUGUCAUCUGUGAGGCACUGUUAGUUCCUCAUCGCUGACAGCUCAGGAAAAAAUGGCAUUCUUUCAAGCUUGCCUAAUUAAUUUAUUUUAAAAUUAAUAGUUAUUAGUUUUCUAUUUUUAAACAUUUCCUUAAACCAUUAAUUUGCUUUCUCUGUUACUGUUCGCCUAACUUCAGAGAUGAUUUUGGGUCUUUAUUUUCUUUCAUGGGCUCAGAUGCCAUCCUCUGUCUGGAAGGAUCUGCAGAUGACCAGCCUGCCUUUCCCACAGUCAUUCCUGACAUCAGGAGUGGGAGGCCUGGCCAUGUGGGUCUGUUUCUAAAGCAUCCGUGGAAAGAAGAACCAACCUCUGUCUGUCUGUCUCUGUUCCCAGGGGCUUGUGGGCACCAUGUGGCUGAGUCCUCCGAGCCCUGCUAGGAGAUGCUGCUAGAAGUCCAUUCUACCGACAGGAAGUGGGGUCCCAAGACAAAAGUCUCCAUGGUUACUGGAAAGUGAAAGUUUAAUCGCUCAGUUGUGUCUGACUCUUUGGGACCCCAUGGACUAGCCUGCCAGGCUUCUCUGUCCAUGGAAUUUUCCAGGCAAGAAUACUGGAGUGGGUUGCCAUUUCCUCCUCCAGGGGAUCUUCCUGACCCAGGGAUUGAACUCAGGUCUCUUGCAUUGCACGUGGAUUCCUUACCACCUGAGCCUUCAGGGAAGCCCAUAGUUACUGGAUGCCAGCUCCAAACCCAGUAGGUCCAUUGUAAAAGUCAGAACCAUCUAACUCUCCAGACACUCUGCAGAGAUGGACGCAGAAACUCAGACAACCACCAUGGCUAUUUUAUAGAAGCUGCUGGAGAAAUCGCUGCACCUGCUGGACAUUUCCUGUGGCUGAGAACUUUUCGAGUGGUCAUCAGCCAUCAGUCCCCACUUCUACCUUAUGCCGGGGGCCCAUCCACAUCCAGACCUGACUGAUCUGUCCUCUCUUCCUGCCUCAGCUGCCCAUUCCUCUGUCCAGCCACUCGGCUUUUGUCCAUUAAAUUAUUUGUGUAACUUUUUCAUGAGUCAUAACACCCCUGAGGCAAGUUGCCUGUGCUGGCAGUUCAUUUAUUAGAGUUGACUAGAGUUUAUAAGAGUUGUGCCGAUUUCAUGUGUAUUUUGGAAUGAUUUUGAACCAUUUUGUAGAAUCUCAUCUCCAAAUAAGCCACAUGAAAUUUUGAACGAGACCAUGUUGGAUGUGUUUUAUACACUUUAAUGAAAUCUUUAAAAAACCUUCAAAAGAUCUUGUGUGUUCUUUGUUGGACUAGUUUAUCUAAAAUGGGUUGUCAUUUUAGUAAAUUAUACUUCUUUUUAGGAUCAACAUUGUAGUUGGCUAUUGCUCCCACUGAGGCCCACAGCUAAGUGACGCUAAGUUGACCUUGCAUCUGAGAAGCCU